rnacentral:tRNA from 1 species
GUUAGGAUGAUUGAGUGGUCUAAGGCGUUAGACUCAAGUUCUAGUCUUUGUAAAAGGGUGUGGGUUCAAAUCCCACUCUUGGCA